CCUACGGGAGGCAGCAGUGAGGAAUAUUGGUCAAUGGGCUUACGCCUGAACCAGCCAAGUCGCGUGAGGGAAGACUGCCCUAUGGGUUGUAAACCUCUUUUGUCAGGGAGCAAUUGGCGCUACGUGUAGCGUUAUCGAGAGUACCUGAAGAAAAAGCAUCGGCUAACUCCGUGCCAGCAGCCGCGGUAAUACGGAGGAUGCGAGCGUCAUCCGGAUUUAUUGGGUUUAAAGGGUGCGUAGGCGGAAUGCCAAGUCAGCGGUAAAAUCGCGGGGCUCAACCUCGCUCCGCCGUUGAAACUGGCGGUCUUGAGUGGGCGAGAAGUAUGCGGAAUGCGUGGUGUAGCGGUGAAAUGCAUAGAUAUCACGCAGAACUCCGAUUGCGAAGGCAGCAUACCGGCGCCCAACUGACGCUGAAGCACGAAAGCGUGGGUAUCGAACAGGAUUAGAUACCCCUGUAGUC
rnacentral:rRNA from 1 species